CGAGCGGCGAGGGAGCAGGGGAAGAGGAGGAAGUGGAGCCGCGGCCGGGAGCUCGGGAGUCGGCCGCCGCGCCGAGGGUCGCUCCGCGCCUUUCCGUCAGUGAGGGUCGGAACCCCAGCUCCAGGGCUAGCGCAGUGUGGCCCCAGGCCCUCGCCUCCGGUGCACGGGACCCCGGACCCCCCCAGCCUCUGGCUUCACGAGACCCCAACCUUCAGUUGGAACAGCUUGGAACAGCGCGAGCGCCCGGGAAGCCCUGGCCGGGUCGUGCGCUCGGUGAGGGGUCCUAGGCGGGCAGGACAGUCGGACCGAACCGCCGGGCUGGUGCCGCGAGCCCAGGCUGUCACCUUCGUCCCGCCUCAGGUGAGG
rnacentral:lncRNA from 1 species